AUACUUACCUGGCAGGGGAGACACCAUGAUCAAGAAGGCGGUUCACCCAGGGCGAGGCUCGUCCAUUGCACUCCGGCCGUGCUGACCCCUGCGAAUUCCCCAAAUGUGGUAGUGGGGGACUGCGUUCGCGCUCUCCCCUG
rnacentral:snRNA from 1 species